GGAGAGGCCAUGGGUCAAUGGUAGAACAUCUGCUUGAUAUGCAGAAGGUCCUGGGUUCAGUUCAUAGCAUCUCCA
rnacentral:tRNA from 1 species